rnacentral:rRNA from 1 species
UACGUAGGGUCCGAGCGUUGUCCGGAGUUACUGGGCGUAAAGGGCGCGCAGGCGGCGGUGCUGGCCCGGCGUGAAAGCCCCCGGCUCGAACCGGGGAGGGUCGUCGGGGACCGCACCGCUUGAGGGCGGUAGGGGCUGGUGGAAUGCCUGGUGUAGUGGUGAAAUGCGUAGAGAUCAGGCGGAACACCCGUGGCGAAGGCGGCCAGCUGGGCCGACCCUGACGCUGAGGAGCGAAAGCGUGGGGAGCGAACAGG